GAUGAACGCUAGCGGCAGGCUUAACACAUGCAAGUCGAGGGGUAGGAGAAGCUUGCUUUUCUGAGACCGGCGCACGGGUGCGUAACGCGUAUGCAAUCUACCUUUCACAGAGGGAUAGCCCAGAGAAAUUUGGAUUAAUACCUCAUAGUAAUACGACUUGGCAUCAAGAUGUAUUUAAAGAUUUAUCGGUGAAAGAUGAGCAUGCGUCCCAUUAGCUAGUUGGUAUGGUAACGGCAUACCAAGGCAACGAUGGGUAGGGGUCCUGAGAGGGAGAUCCCCCACACUGGUACUGAGACACGGACCAGACUCCUACGGGAGGCAGCAGUGAGGAAUAUUGGACAAUGGGCGCAAGCCUGAUCCAGCCAUGCCGCGUGCAGGAUGACAGUCCUAUGGAUUGUAAACUGCUUUUAUACAGGAAGAAACACCUCUACGUGUAGAGACUUGACGGUACUGUAAGAAUAAGGAUCGGCUAACUCCGUGCCAGCAGCCGCGGUAAUACGGAGGAUCCAAGCGUUAUCCGGAAUCAUUGGGUUUAAAGGGUCCGUAGGCGGUCAGAUAAGUCAGUGGUGAAAGCCCAUCGCUCAACGGUGGAACGGCCAUUGAUACUGUCUGACUUGAAUUAUUAGGAAGUAACUAGAAUAUGUAGUGUAGCGGUGAAAUGCUUAGAGAUUACAUGGAAUACCAAUUGCGAAGGCAGGUUACUACUAAUUGAUUGACGCUGAUGGACGAAAGCGUGGGUAGCGAACAGGAUUAGAUACCCUGGUAGUCCACGCCGUAAACGAUGGAUACUAGCUGUUGGGAGCAAUCUCAGUGGCUAAGCGAAAGUGAUAAGUAUCCCACCUGGGGAGUACGAACGCAAGUUUGAAACUCAAAGGAAUUGACGGGGGCCCGCACAAGCGGUGGAGCAUGUGGUUUAAUUCGAUGAUACGCGAGGAACCUUACCAAGGCUUAAAUGUAGAUUGACCGUUUGGAAACAGAACU
rnacentral:rRNA from 1 species